CUAUGACAUGCAGUACGAAAGUUGUUUGGCUUGAUGAGAUCUAUAUGUGUACCGAGUUUCAUACGUCUACGUGCAAGUAUGUAUGAUAUAUGGCCCUCCAUAUUCCAGGGGGCGCUGUAGAGCCCCUGUGCCACGCCCGUGUAUCAGUCUCUGCCCGGCCCUAAUGGCCGCAGGUUCCAAUGUGUGUGCCAAUUUUCAAGAGUUUUCGAGUAUGUUAAGGGCCCCAAAAGCCCCCGAGACGUUGGAAAAAAAUAAUAAUAAAUAUAGCUGCAAGCAGCGAUGGCGGGCUCAAGCCAUCAGCGCAAACGCCACCCCGGUGGCAUCAGGUAAACUGUGCCCAGCGGGCACAUGCAUUUACAGUAAUCCUCUGGCACUCAGGUUUUAAGGGAUACGGCAAUUAACGGGUUAAUCCGAAGCAUCAAGACUUUGAAAUCACAUACACAGAACAAUAUUCAUUAAGAAAGUGAAAUUAAAUGAUUAAUAAACUAUUUAUUCGAACCCUCACUAUUUUCUAUUCUAAUAAAAGUUUUGGCUGUGGAACAUCUGUAAUAGAGUUGGCUAGCUGGAUGCAAAUAAAGUCAUGCCUUUUAUUUUUUCCCCUGUUUGCUAUUUCACAUUCCUGUCACUGAAGCGUUGUGGGCAAAGACACAGAAGG
ensembl:lncRNA